AACGCGAAGAACCUUACCAGCCCUUGACAUGUCCAGGACCGGUCGCAGAGAUGUGACCUUCUCUUCGGAGCCUGGAACACAGGUGCUGCAUGGCUGUCGUCAGCUCGUGUCGUGAGAUGUUGGGUUAAGUCCCGCAACGAGCGCAACCCCCGUCCUUAGUUGCUACCAUUUAGUUGAGCACUCUAAGGAGACUGCCGGUGAUAAGCCGCGAGGAAGGUGGGGAUGACGUCAAGUCCUCAUGGCCCUUACGGGCUGGGCUACACACGUGCUACAAUGGCGGUGACAAUGGGACGCUAAGGGGUAACCCUUCGCAAAUCUCAAAAAGCCGUCUCAGUUCGGAUUGGGCUCUGCAACUCGAGCCCAUGAAGUUGGAAUCGCUAGUAAUCGUGGAUCAGCACGCCACGGUGAAUACGUUCCCGGGCCUUGUACACACCG
rnacentral:rRNA from 1 species